rnacentral:rRNA from 1 species
AAUGAACGCUGGCGGCGUGCUUAACACAUGCAAGUCGAGCGAGAAAGUCCCUUCGGGGAUGAGUACAGCGGCGGACGAGUGAGUAAUGCGUAAGAAUCUGCCCUCUAAUGAAGGAUACCCCCGAGAAAUCGGGUUCAAUACUGCAUAAGUCCCUACGGGGAGAAAGGUGGCCUAAUUUGCUGCCGUUAGAGGAUGAGCUUGCGUGCUAUUAGCUAGUUGGUGGGGUAAAGGCCUACCAAGGCGAUGAUGGCUAGCCGGCCUGAGAGGGUGUCCGGCCACACUGGAACUUAGACACGGUCCAGGCUCCUACGGGAGGCAGCAGUGGGGAAUAUUGCGCAAUGGGCGAAAGCCUGACGCAGCGACGCCGCGUGGAGGAUGAAGGUCUUCGGAUUGUAAACUUCUGUUAAGUGGGAAAAAAGACCAGUCUUUAAUAGAGGCUGGGGAUGAUUGUACCAUUAGAGAAAGCACUGGCUAACUUCGUGCCAGCCGCCGCCGUAA